CGGACGCAGGUCAAAUCGGCGAGAGCUUGCAACAGCUCGCGAGACCAGUCGGGGAGGAGGGGCGGCAAAUCUCAGUUUGUUGUAGUCACGUUGUAGUUUGUACGAAGAACGCGAUGGAGAAAAUCGUUUGUGCCGAUUUAUCGUCGUACGCUCACGGAGGCGGUUGACUCACCGUAACUUCCCCUGGUCAGUUGCAAAACUCAUUUCUUUUGUGGAGGACGUUGUCUCCUUACACAGUCCGUCAGACUUCAAGAGCCAUGUCAGACCAACAAGAGGACAGGUGGAGGUUGGUGACAGAAAUUUUCUUUAUUACUUUCGUGCCAGUCAUUUCCUCUUUGGUUUCUUAGGACCUAUUGGAACUACCGGUCCCUGAGAAACGGUUGGCCACUAGGUCAGCCAGUCUGUUGGCUUGCUUGUGGAUCCUACCCAAGCAGGAGUCCUACAGAGGUGUGGCAGAUCGGUUUGACAUGUCCGGAGGGGAUGCCCCGUGUGCAUCAGUGCAAGGCUUUGAGAAGGCAGGAUUUGCCAGGUGUCACACUCCCAUGUUGAAGCCAAAGUGUGAGAACCUGUUGCCUAUUGUAACAGGAAGCGGUUUUACUCAGUCAUACUGACUGCUUUCCAAACAAGUCAUCCAUUUGCUAGGGAAUAGAUCUAUACUUUAGUAAAUGUUACACAGUACUCUUUUAUUGCGAACCAUGCAAACCGAUGACAUCACUACACAUACUUGUGUAAAACGGACAUUUGCCCUGCUAAAUGUCCAAUGUGGAUAAUUCUUUCCUCUCCUGUCGUUUGGGCCCUAUCCUCAGGUUUCCCAGCUUUUUUGGAUUUUUUUCAUUUCUGAUGGUGUAGCCUUCUGUUGCUGUCCAUUUCUUUAUAGAACGCCACACCGUUUUUGUGGUAGAGACCAAGGUGGGCUACGUGUGAGGACCAGCAGCAGAAGGCUGGCUUCAUGUGUGGACUCUGUAACAUUAAUAUUGUUCAGAAUUACAGUGUGUCAUCCCCUAUAACUCUGAUUCAAACAGUAACUCUAACCUUUCUGUUUUGAUGAAGUGGAAGUGGAGGGGACCUGAGUGAGGUCAAGAGGACCUUCAUGAACUGAGGUCUCUUCAGGUGACUGAGGAGUCAGCUCCGUAUCACUGGGACCUGGGACCGGCACUAUGGAGAAUGUGUCAUCCAAAGCACGCUAUAUGCUGAUAUUGUCCACAAUUGAAGCAGUCUCCCUGCUGACCUGCAUUUGGACACUGCACCAUCGGAAUCGCUUAAGAAAAUUGUGACCUUCUCCAUCAUGUGAUACUCUGCAAUUAUCCAAUCAAAGAAUGGCUUCAGCCAGCAGCGCUACUUGAGAUGUCACACUUCUAUAUAUGUUUAUAUGUUUUAUAUGUAUUUAUAUGUUUCUAAGCAAAUGGUGGUGGUCAAAGUAAAUGCCCGAAUCUUGCAUGCUUCUCCUUGGCCUUGACUGUAACCAUGAAUUAUGUAUUGUAACAAUGAUAACAAUACAUUGGAUUAUAAAGACAGUGGAUGGUAUUUUGUGAUGUUUUCUGUCUACAUUUUGAAGUGCUCCAGUGUGAUUUUGCACUUUGUAUCUGCAUGUAUGUGCAUUUGUGGAUGUAGGACGAGUAGCUCACACACAUACCACUUAGAUACA